rnacentral:rRNA from 1 species
AACGAACGCUGGCGGCAGGCUUAACACAUGCAAGUCGAACGGGUGCAGCAAUGCAUCAGUGGCAGACGGGUGAGUAACACGUGGGAACCUUCCUAGGGGUACGGAACAACUCAGGGAAACUUGAGCUAAUACCGUAUACGUCCGUGAGGAGAAAGAUUUAUCGCCCUUAGACGGGCCCGCGUCGGAUUGGCUAGUUGGUGGGGUAACGGCCUACCAAGGCGACGAUCCGUAGCUGAUGUUAGAGGAUGAUCAGCGACACUGGGACUGAGACACGGCCCAGACUCCUCCGGGCGGCAUCAGUGAUGGAUCUAGGAGCGAGGGGGCAACCCUGUUCCAGCCAUGCCGCGUAAGUGAAGAAGGUCUUCGGAAUGUAAAGCUCUUUUGCGAGGGAGGAUAAUGACGGUACCUGGAGAAUAAGCCCCGGCGAGCUUCGUGCCCGCCGGCGCCGUAAGAC